AACACGUGUCAAAGAACAGGUAAGCCGAACGCUCUUAUACCCAAGGCACCACUGAUUCAGGUACCAGUGCCUUCUGAGCCUUUCAGCCAUCUCAUCAACAACAAUGUCGAGCCACUAAGACAAGCUCAGGUAACAUAGCUAUCAGUAAUAUCUUGUGUUCUACCACCAGGUUUCCUACAGCAGUUUCCGUCAAGAACUGUACGGCUGUUAACGUUGUGAACCACCUCGUGAAACAGUGCCCGCAGUGCGGACAUCCCCAGGCUAGUGAGAGCAGGGUGACACCAUUCUCUCCAACGACCUGUGUAAAACUAUCAACAUCUCCCAGGUGUUAGGAAACCUUUCGUCUUCCAUGUUAACAACAGCAACACUGGCGAUAGGAAUACCCUGACCCUAUAGCGAGAUGGGAUCGUGCACUGCAGCUACUUCCGUCAUAAAGGAGCCACUCAACAUCCUAACCAGCGUGCAACACAACGAUCCAUCAAAUCUACAAGGUUACAAUCACAUCAACAUCUCCUCGGACCUCAAUAUUCUUCGGUCUAUGCAGCAGGCCCAGUUCUCAAACAGACUAGUACUUCGCUGGGUCCUGCAGCACCACAUCAAAAUCUCCUCGGACCUCAAUAUUCUUCGGUCCAUGCAGCCGACCCAGUUCUUCAACAGACUCGUACUUCGCUGGGUCCUGCAGCACCACAUCAACAACACCUCCUAUCACAAUCUCCUUCGGUUCCUAUAGCAGACCCAGUUCUCCAACCAACACUUGUUUCGCUAGGCCUUGCAUCUGACAAACCAUCUCCUCAACAUCUUCUCGCAUCACUAUUCCCUUUGAUCCAUUAACCAGGCUCAGUUCUCCAACCGAUUUGUACUUCACUGAGCCCUAUAGCACUAAAUUAACAUCUUCUACAAUCAACAUCCUCUUCAGUUCCUGCAGGAGACCCAAUUCUCCAAUUAGCACCUGCUUCACAGGGCCUUGUACCUGCAGAACUACAAUCUCAACAUCUUCGUCAUAGGCUCGGAAAACGUCGUCGCCAACGCUCUCUCCCGAGUCUGCGAGAUGAAAUCUCCCACUUCAACUCUCCACUCCACAGCAGCAUCAGAGGCGAUAGGAACAUGCUUCUGAGAGAGCUGUUACGGUUAACACCUGCUUUGGCAAGGAGAUCCUGCCUAUUCAACAACAUAUCUGCAUACUCCAGUAUAAGAAAUCAACAUCAACAACAACAACAAUACGUACUCAGAAGUCUGUGUCUAGACAAGACACCCCCCCCCCCUCCAUCCUCAUGUACUCAAGACUAUACACAUCUACUGUUACUGUAUAAGAACUACCUGUCUGGGGCCUAGCGUAACUCACCUUUCGACUAGCCCUCUACUGCUUUAUUGAGACUGAAGGCGAUAGUUGGCUUAGUGUAGUGUGGCACAUCAGCGCUUAGUGUAGAUGGCACAUCAGCGCCAUGUACACUAAGUCUUGGUCCCCCAAUGUAAGCGGCUCACCACCAGCCAGUCUUCAGAAUACGCUUCGUGCUCUCAAGCACAAAGAGCUUGUAAGCGCUUAUACAGUAACAUGUACUGUAGCCUUCCCAGGACACAGUAGAUGCGUACAGCUUUUUGUACUCAAGACACUUGGACAGCAGCUGUCGGGGGCCUAACGCCACUAGCUGAUCGACCAGCCCUUUACUGCUUGUUUGAGACUGCCGGCGAUAGUUACCUGCACAUCAGCGCCCUCUACACUAAGCCUGGCCCGCCUAUCUAAGUAGCUCACUUCGGAAUUCGCCUCGUGCUCUCAAGCACAAAGCUCUUAUACAGUAACAUGUACUGUAGCCUUCCCAGGAAACAGUAGAUGUGUACAGCAUUUUGUAUAUUGUAAUAAUUUACACCUUUCUUUGUCAUUAACGCAACUGUCACAUGUUCAUAUUUCAUUUGUAUUGUGUAUCACCAAGUAGAAUAUGGGAAUUAUUUUAAUUGUUGUUAAAGUCAUUUUUGAUAUAUUAAAUAUUUAAAGAUU
rnacentral:lncRNA from 1 species